CUUUCCAUUUCUUUUAUCUUAUUUAAUUAAAUCAAUGACGGUGUUUGCAUGUCACGACCCGUUUCCGUGGACCGGACUGGCACUAGGGCCCAGGUAAGCUUAAGGCCCCCGAGACCCGUAGUAAGCCUAAAUUAUCCAAUCUGUCUACCCAUCUUGCCCAAUUAAUUCAUCAAAACAGUAAGCCUCAAUCUCAAUUAACACAUAAUAUCUAACCAGGGCCUAUUCACAAUAAAUUAUAAUCACAUUAUGGGCUUACUGGUUCACCUGCAGCUAAUUACAUAAUAUUUAAUUUAUAGUGUAGUGUUAACAAUAAGUCCAAUAGUAAUACACAACCCUAUAACUACGGAGUUCAUUAAUAAUUUGAUAAAGUAAGUUAUACAUCCAAAAUUAAAUAUCAGAAAUAUAAAGUUUACAUUUAUAACUCUGCGGAGAAGAUUGCAGAGCUUCAGUUGAAUCCGCUGCUUCCUAGUACCUGAGAGGUUUAUUGGGGGAGGGGUGAGUUUUGCAACUCAGUGAAUAAUAAUAAAUAAUACACACCACAUACAAUCAAGCAAAAUGCACCCUAGUAUACUGAAUGAACACNNN
rnacentral:lncRNA from 1 species